rnacentral:rRNA from 1 species
GGACGCUGGCGGCGUGCUUAACACCUGCAAGUCGAACGGAAAGGCCCUGCUUUUGUGGGGUGCUCGAGUGGCGAACGGGUGAGUAACACGUGAGUAACCUGCCCUUGACUUUGGGAUAACUUCAGGAAACUGGGGCUAAUACCGGAUAGGAGCUCCUGCUGCAUGGUGGGGGUUGGAAAGUUUCGGCGGUUGGGGAUGGACUCGCGGCUUAUCAGCUUGUUGGUGGGGUAGUGGCUUACCAAGGCUUUGACGGGUAGCCGGCCUGAGAGGGUGACCGGCCACAUUGGGACUGAGAUACGGCCCAGACUCCUACGGGAGGCAGCAGUGGGGAAUAUUGCACAAUGGGCGGAAGCCUGAUGCAGCAACGCCGCGUGCGGGAUGACGGCCUUCGGGUUGUAAACCGCUUUCGCCUGUGACGAAGCGUGAGUGACGGUAAUGGGUAAAGAAGCACCGGCUAACUACGUG